rnacentral:rRNA from 1 species
CGCAAGCCUGACGGAGCAACGCCGCGUGAGGGAGGAAGGCCUGUGGGUUGUAAACCUCUUUUCUCAAGGAAGAAGUUCUGACGGUACUUGAGGAAUCAGCAUCGGCUAACUCCGUGCCAGCAGCCGCGGUAAGACGGAGGAUGCAAGCGUUAUCCGGAAUUAUUGGGCGUAAAGCGUCCGUAGGCGGUACAGAAAGUCUGCUGUUAAAGCUCACAGCUCAACUGUGAAUCGGCAGUGGAAACUUCUGAACUAGAGAGUGGUAGGGGUAGAGGGAAUUCCUAGUGUAGCGGUGAAAUGCGUAGAUAUUAGGAAGAACACCAGUGGCGAAGGCGCUCUACUGGGCCAUUACUGACGCUGAUGGACGAAAGCUAGGGGAGCG